UAGGGAAUCUUCGGCAAUGGACGAAAGUCUGACCGAGCAACGCCGCGCGAGUGAAGAAGGUUUUCGGAUCGUAAAACUCUGUUGGUAGAGAAGAACGUUGGUGAGAGUGGAAAGCUCAUCAAGUGACGGUAACUACCCAGAAAGGGACGGCUAACUACGNGCCAG
rnacentral:rRNA from 1 species